UACGUAGGUGGCGAGCGUUGUCCGGAUUUACUGGACGUAAAGCGCGCGCAGGCGGUCCGGUAAGUCUCCGGUGAAAUCGCCCGGCUCAACUGGGCGGGUGCCGGGGAGACUGGCGGACUUGAGGAGCCUAGAGGCCGGUGGAACUCCCGGUGUAGUGGUGAAAUGCGUAGAGAUCGGGAAGAACACCAGUGGCGAAGGCGGCCGGCUGGGGGUGUCCUGACGCUGAGGCGCGAGAGCGUGGGGAGCAAACCGG
rnacentral:rRNA from 1 species